rnacentral:rRNA from 1 species
UACGUAGGGGGCAAGCGUUGUCCGGAUUUAUUGGGCGUAAAAGAGCUCGUAGGCGGUUUGUUGCGUCGGCUGUGAAAUCCCGAGGCUCAACCUCGGGUCUGCAGUCGAUACGAGCAAACUAGAGUGUUGCAGGGGAGACUGGAAUUCCUGGUGUAGCGGUGAAAUGCGCAGAUAUCAGGAGGAACACCGGUGGCGAAGGCGG